rnacentral:rRNA from 1 species
GACGAACGCUGGCGGCGUGCUUAACACAUGCAAGUCGAGCGGAAAGGCCCUGCUUUUGUGGGGUGCUCGAGUGGCGAACGGGUGAGUAACACGUGAGUAACCUGCCCUUGACUUUGGGAUAACUUCAGGAAACUGGGGCUAAUACCGGAUAGGAGCUCCUGCUGCAUGGUGGGGGUUGGAAAGUUUCGGCGGUUGGGGAUGAACUCGCGGCUUAUCAGCUUGUUGGUGGGGUAGUGGCUUACCAAGGCUUUGACGGGUAGCCGGCCUGAGAGGGUGACCGGCCACAUUGGGACUGAGAUACGGCCCAGACUCCUACGGGAGGCAGCAGUGGGGAAUAUUGCACAAUGGGCGGAAGCCUGAUGCAGCAACGCCGCGUGCGGGAUGACGGCCUUCGGGUUGUAAACCGCUUUCGCCUGUGACGAAGCGUGAGUGACGGUAAUGGGUAAAGAAGCACCGGCUAACUACGUG